AAAGACUCAAACCUCAUUUCCCUACUUUCAAACAAAGCCCUUCCUCAUGGAGAUUUCUGUUCUUCGCCUAUGUCACGCCUGAAAUUGCUUCCGGUGAGGGUGGAGGCUCAAACACACUAGGCUAAAGCUCAAACUAACUGUCUCCUUCUCCUCUUUCUCAGCUCUAUGCUAAUUACUUUCAAUUUUACCCCAAACGUACAAAUCGAAGGGAUCAUUAGAUGAAGCCUAAAUCAAAUUCUAGAGAUAAAAUGCAAGGGAGAGGGAAUUGGAGCCAAUGUGAUUAGGGUUUCAAUUCCAAAAGAUAUGUACUACAUCGCGCUAACAACAGAAUGCAAAGAAGAAGCCAAGAUGUACGAACAUACACGCGAAAUCUAUGGUGAAGCUAAUAAUAAGAAAAUACCAUAGGCAAAACGCCAGACUUGUGCAACCUAUUUAAACAACUCGAGAUUACAUCAAAAUGUCAAAGUUGCUUUGAGUUGUUGAUGUCAAAAGGUGGCUUACUUGGCUCAAACACUCUACUGCAGUGGUGAUGAAUAUGGUUAUUAUCUUGGCUGGAAUAAUGGAGCAUAUUGGAUUAAGGAAGUUUUGGCUUGGGGAUGAGCUAGCAAGACUUGACCAAGGCAUUUCAUGAACUCAAGAACAAGCAAGGUCAUGGAGAAGUUCUGGUCAACAUGAAUCACUUGAAGGCUUACAAAGAUGGGAUGGAGAAGAUACAUAAUAGGGCUUAGAGUGGGAUUAGUGGUUGACUUUGGUCAAAGCUGACCCAAAAGUCAAUUUUGACCAAAGUCAACUUUGGUCAAACUUGCAUAUUUUUGUAAUUUUAUUUGUAAAAUGAUGUAAUGAAUGGUUUGAAUGAACAUUUAUGUAUGAAAUGGUUAGUUUAUUGAAA